rnacentral:rRNA from 1 species
GAUGAACGCUGGCGGCGUGCCUAAUACAUGCAAGUCGAGCGAACGGACGAGAAGCUUGCUUCUCUGAUGUUAGCGGCGGACGGGUGAGUAACACGUGGAUAACCUACCUAUAAGACUGGGAUAAAUUCGGGAAACCGGAGCUAAUACCGGAUAAUAUUUUGAACCGCAUGGUUCAAAAGUGAAAGACGGUCUUGCUGUCACUUAUAGAUGGAUCCGCGCUGCAUUAGCUAGUUGGUAAGGUAACGGCUUACCAAGGCAACGAUGCAUAGCCGACCUGAGAGGGUGAUCGGCCACACUGGAACUGAGACACGGUCCAGACUCCUACGGGAGGCAGCAGUAGGGAAUCUUACGCAAUGGGCGAAAGCCUGACGGAGCAACGCCGCGGGAGUGAUGAAGGUCUUCGGAUCGUAAAACUCUGUUAUUAGGGAAGAACAUAUGUGUAAGUAACUGUGCACAUCUUGACGGUACCUAAUCAGAAAGCCACGGCUAACUACGUG